AUGCCCCUGCUACACCAGCCAAGAGUGUUUGUGGAGACAGCUACUUUAGGCCUCAUUCAAACUUCCCUAACUAUAUGGCAAACACACAAUCCUUUAAGGCCAAAUUGAUGUCUCAUAAUGCUCCAAAACAACGACCAGACCAGGGCCAAAAAAGAGGCUUUCGCUCAAUGAAAUAAUGGCAGCAAGGAAUAGCAUAAGCAGUGUUAGAAUG
rnacentral:misc_RNA from 1 species